rnacentral:rRNA from 1 species
AUACGGAGGGUGCGAGCGUUAAUCGGAAUUACUGGGCGUAAAGCGUGCGUAGGCGGUUGAUUUAGUCAGAUGUGAAAGCCCCGGGCUCAACCCGGGAACUGCAUUUGAAACUGGUCAACUGGAGGAUGGUAGAGGGGGGUAGAAUUUCUGGUGUAGCGGUGAAAUGCGUAGAUAUCAGAAGGAAUACCGAUGGAGAAGGCAGCCCCCUGGACCAAUACUGACGCUGAGGUACGAAAGCGUGGGGAGCAAACAGGAUUAGAAACCCCGGUAGUCC